GAGUUUGAUCCUGGCUCAGAACGAACGCUGGCGGCAGGCCUAACACAUGCAAGUCGAGGGAUAAGCUGGCUUCGGCCAGUGGACACCGGCGCACGGGUGAGUAACGCGUGGGAAUGUACCCUCAGGUAAAGGAUAACGUCGGGAAACCGGCGCUAAUACUUUAUAAUAUCUCCGGAUCAAAGCUCCGGCGCCUGAGGAUCGGCCCGCGUUAGAUUAGCUAGUUGGUAGGGUAAUGGCCUACCAAGGCGACGAUCUAUAGCUGGUCUGAGAGGACGAUCAGCCACACUGGGACUGAGACACGGCCCAGACUCCUACGGGAGGCAGCAGUGAGGAAUAUUGGACAAUGGAGGCAACUCUGAUCCAGCCAUGCCGCGUGAGUGAAGAAGGCCUUCGGGUUGUAAAGCUCUNUCAGAUGUGAAGAUAAUGACGGUAGCAUCAGAAGAA
rnacentral:rRNA from 1 species